CUUCUCUGGCGAAAAAAUAGAUGACUUGGCAAAGCAGCCUCCAGAUGGCCCCAGAAUGCAGGCUCCCUUCUGGAGGUGCUUGGAUGGGAGUUGCUGUUGCUUCUAGCAAGCCAGAUUUGACAUGUGGCCACAGUCACAUGCUAGCCCUAGGCUAGCUUCCUGGAGCCCAGUUGCAAGGUUGGGGAUGGAGAGUUCAUUCUCUGAGCAAGCUGCACUCACAGGAUAGCUGUGGUCCCCACAAGGGAAACAAACUAAUCCAAACAAAAGAUGAAAAUAAACUAAGGAGCAACCACUACAAACAUGCUGAACCUGAGAGAGCUGCAGAAUGGACCACAUGAAGCUUCGAAUCCUCUCGCUCCUUGUCAAAAGAGCAAGCAGCGUGUUGGAAAAGUGUCUGAUUAAAGAUACUGAUACAAUGUGACCAGCUGCCACAACCUCCUGAUACUGAGGCUUCCUUGCCACGAGGGACUGGCCCCACAGACUGUGAGCAAAGAUGAGAUCCUCCUUCCUUGCUUAGAUUCCUUUUAUCAGAUACGUUAUCAGAGCCUCAAGGCCAGUCUUUCCAUGGUCUCUCCAUGUGAAACUCAUCAGGGAUGAGACUUGAAGUUGGUUGUCACCAUCACAAAGUAAACAAGCUACCCAGAGCUUACUGGAAAUGCAUGCUUUCACCUUUCUAGAGUCUUCAUCCAGUAGCUGUUGGAAGCAGAAGCAGAAAUUCACAGCCAAGCACUGAGCAGAACUCCUGGAAUCCAGCUGCCAAGAGGGAGGAGUGAUGAGCAGAGUGAAGACCAUGUUGGGGAAACCCACAGAAACAGCUGACCUGAGCAAGUGGAAGCUUAUUGACUCCAGUGUGACAGCUGAGGAACCACCAGAAAACCAAACCAGGACCUCUGAACUUGGGUAUCAGUAGGGGGGCCUGGGUAGUCUAUGGAGCCUCUUGUAAUGGAAUCAGUAUUUAUCCUUAGAGCAUGAAUGGGCUUUUAGAUCCCAAUCCCCGUGAAUGGAUACUCUCUCAGCCUAGAUACAGGGGGGAAGGCAUAGAUCCUGCCCCAAAUGAUGUGACAGAAUUUGAUGAUCCCCCAUGGGAGGCCACACACUCCCUGAGGAGUGGAUGGGGCGUUGUCGAGGGAGAAGGAACUGGGAC
rnacentral:lncRNA from 1 species